AAACCAUGAUGUGGACAUUAUCUAAGCAUAUUAUUAUAUCUAUCCCAAGCUUCAAAUAAAGAUUUUGAGUCAUCUUGUUUGAAACUUGAAAUAAGAUUCCUCAUAU